rnacentral:rRNA from 1 species
GACGAACGCUGGCGGCGUGCCUAAUACAUGCAAGUAGAACGCUGAAGAGAGGAGCUUGCUCUUCUUGGAUGAGUUGCGAACGGGUGAGUAACGCGUAGGUAACCUGCCUUGUAGCGGGGGAUAACUAUUGGAAACGAUAGCUAAUACCGCAUAACAAUGGAUGAAACAUGUCAUUUAUUUGAAAGGGGCAAUUGCUCCACUACAAGAUGGACCUGCGUUGUAUUAGCUAGUAGGUGAGGUAACGGCUCACCUAGGCGACGAUACAUAGCCGACCUGAGAGGGUGAUCGGCCACACUGGGACUGAGACACGGCCCAGACUCCUACGGGAGGCAGCAGGAGGGAAUCUUCGGCAAUGGGGGCAACCCUGACCGAGCAACGCCGCGUGAGUGAAGAAGGUUUUCGGAUCGUAAAGCUCUGUUGUAAGUCAAGAACGAGUGUGAGAGUGGAAAGUUCACACUGUGACGGUAGCUUACCAGAAAGGGACGGCUAACUACGUG